AGCCCGGUCGUCUAGCGGCCAAAGGAAAACCCGGCUUGGGAUGCGGGGAGUCCGUUGGGACCCGUAACUUUGGACCGGGAGGGGAGAAACCCCGUGGCCCGGGUUCGAAUCCCGGCCGGGCUA
rnacentral:tRNA from 1 species